AAGUGUCACCUGGCAGUUUGUUGCUCUCUGCCAGGUGAUUGGCUGAAGAGCUGUGAAAAGGUAGUGGGUGUGUGGGGUGAAGUCAGCGCUCUUCUGUGGAAAAAACCAGAGGCAAUUAAUUCACUCAGUGUGACCACGAAUUUUAAUAGAAGAAUUGAUCAAGCCCUAGAUCGACUGCGCGCAGGGAAACUGAUCAAUAUUAUCACAGGCCAUACAUAGCACUGAUUCCCAGCUGCGCUGAGACCCGAAUUGUUUGCAGUGUGUGCCACGAUUGCAGUGUCGCUAAGCGGGGUGUGACGGG